rnacentral:rRNA from 1 species
GACGAACGCUGGCGGCGUGCUUAACACAUGCAAGUCGAACGAAAAUACCAAGCUUGCUUGGUUUUUUAGUUGCGAACGGGUGAGUAACACGUGAGUAACCUGCCCCUUACUUUCCUGGAUAACUGCUCGAAAGGGUGGCUAAUACGGGAUAUUCUGACCAGCCUGCAUGGGUUGGUUUGGAAAGGUUGUUUUUCUGGUAAGGGAUGGGCUCGCGGCCUAUAAGCUGGUGGGUGGGGUGAUGGCCUACCAAGGCUUUGACGGGUAGCUGUCCGGGGAGGGUGGACGGCGAGACUGGGACUGAGAUACGGCCCAGACUCCGACGGGAGGCAGCAGUGGGGAAGAUUGUGCGAGGGGCGCUAGCCUGAUGCAGCGACGCCGCGUGAGAGAUGAAGGCCUUCGGGUUGUAAACCUCUUUCGUAAGGGAACAAGGCACUGCUUUUGUGGUGGUGUUGAGGGUACCUGGAUAAGAAGCGCCGGCUAACUACGUG